rnacentral:lncRNA from 1 species
CUGUACAAACUGACUGUUCUGGUUGUGUGCAACUUGGCGUGGAAUGUGUAAUAUCUACCCAAUAAUUAAGAGGCUUAUUAAGAAUAACAAUGGUAAUGCUUUUCCUUUUAUAUAAAUUGCUUUUUUUAGUACAAAUGUAAUACAUGCUCAUUAGAGAGAAAUUUGGAAGGCACCAAAAAUCACAGAGAAAUAUCAUUAUUGCACCUAAUCCCACCGCCAAGAUAAAAACGCUAGUGCCAUCUUGCGUGCACACACAGUGAUGACGACUGAUCAGAGUGGCAGAACCUCGUGUCCCAAAAGUCGUGCAACGUCUCAGCUAGCAGGGGCACCCAGUACCAUCUCCAGCAGCUCCACUGUUUCAGCUUGGGGAUGAAGGCUUAGAGAGGAAGCAUGAACUCCCAAGGUCACCUGAAGACUCUGUGGCAAAGACAGACACAGAACCUAGGGUCAAGGGCUCCACAACCAGUUCCCCAUCCAUCGGUAUUUAUUAAGCAUUUAUUAUGCACUUAGUAUCUUGCAAUGUUUCACACGAGGAAACUUGGUUGUUUCCCUUAGGAAACAAUUACUUAUUCAUUUAUUUAGCAAGUACUUAUUUAACUUCUACUAUGUGUGAAGUGUCAAACAGCAGAAAGCCAGACUCUUGUUUAAAAUGUGAGACAUAAUUUGGGCUGGGUACAGUGGCUCAUGCCUGUAAUUCCAGCAUUUUCAGAGGCCGAAGCGGGUGGAUCACCAGAGGUCAGGAGUUUGAGACCAGCCUGGCCAACAUGAUGAAACCCCGUCUCUAUUAAAAAUAUAAAAAUUAGCCAGGUGUGGUGGUGUGUGCCUGUAAUCCCAGCUACUUGGGAAGCUGAAGCCAGAGAAUCACUUGAACCCAGGAGGCAGAGGUUGCAGUGAGCCAAGGUUGNNNNNNNNNNNNN